AUCCCGAAGUUUGUGUCCGGGCAAUGACACAUCCCUGCCUGUUAAACUUGGCCGGACCUCAGUGUCCGGCCAUUUUU
rnacentral:ncRNA from 1 species